AAGGCGCGCGAUACAGGGUGACAGCCCCGUACACAAAAAUGCACAUAUUGUGAGCUCGAUGAGUAGGGCGGGACACGUGGUAUCCUGUCUGAAUAUGGGGGGACCAUCCUCCAAGGCUAAAUACUCCUGACUGACCGAUAGUGAACCAGUACCGUGAGGGAAAGGCGAAAAGAACCCCGGCGAGGGGAGUGAAAAAGAACCUGAAACCGUGUACGUACAAGCAGUGGGAGCCUCUUAAUGGGGUGACUGCGUACCUUUUGUAUAAUGGGUCAGCGACUUAUAUUCUGUAGCAAGGUUAACCGAAUAGGGGAGCCGAAGGGAAACCGAGUCUUAACUGGGCGUUAAGUUGCAGGGUAUAGACCCGAAACCCGGUGAUCUAGCCAUGGGCAGGUUGAAGGUUGGGUAACACUAACUGGAGGACCGAACCGACUAAUGUUGAAAAAUUAGCGGAUGACUUGUGGCUGGGGGUGAAAGGCCAAUCAAACCGGGAGAUAGCUGGUUCUCCCCGAAAGCUAUUUAGGUAGCGCCUCGUGAAUUCAUCUCCGGGGGUAGAGCACUGUUUCGGCAAGGGGGUCAUCCCGACUUACCAACCCGAUGCAAACUGCGAAUACCGGAGAAUGUUAUCACGGGAGACACACGGCGGGUGCUAACGUCCGUCGUGAAGAGGGAAACAACCCAGACCGCCAGCUAAGGUCCCAAAGUCAUGGUUAAGUGGGAAACGAUGUGGGAAGGCCCAGACAGCCAGGAUGUUGGCUUAGAAGCAGCCAUCAUUUAAAGAAAGCGUAAUAGCUCACUGGUCGAGUCGGCCUGCGCGGAAGAUGUAACGGGGCUAAACCAUGCACCGAAGCUGCGGCAGCGACGCUUAUGUGUUGUUGGGUAGGGGAGCGUUCUGUAAGCCUGUGAAGGUGGCCUGUGAGGGUUGCUGGAGGUAUCAGAAGUGCGAAUGCUGACAUAAGUAACGAUAAAGCGGGUGAAAAGCCCGCUCGCCGGAAGACCAAGGGUUCCUGUCCAACGUUAAUCGGGGCAGGGUGAGUCGACUCCUAAGGCGAGGCCGAAAGGCGUAGUCGAUGGGAAACAGGUUAAUAUUCCUGUACUUGGUGUUACUGCGAAGGGGGGACGGAGAAGGCUAUGUUGGCCGGGCGACGGUUGUCCCGGUUUAAGCGUGUAGGCUGGUUUUCCAGGCAAAUCCGGAAAACCAAGGCUGAGGCGUGAUGACGAGGCACUACGGUGCUGAAGUGACAAAUGCCCUGCUUCCAGGAAAAGCCUCUAAGCAUCAGGUAACAUCAAAUCGUACCCCAAACCGACACAGGUGGUCAGGUAGAGAAUACCAAGGCGCUUGAGAGAACUCGGGUGAAGGAACUAGGCAAAAUGGUGCCGUAACUUCGGGAGAAGGCACGCUGAUAUGUAGGUGAAGCGACUUGCUCGUGGAGCUGAAAUCAGUCGAAGAUACCAGCUGGCUGCAACUGUUUAUUAAAAACACAGCACUGUGCAAACACGAAAGUGGACGUAUACGGUGUGACGCCUGCCCGGUGCCGGAAG
rnacentral:rRNA from 1 species